UACGUAGGUGACCAGCGUUGUCCGGAUUUACUGGGCGUAAAGAGCGCGCAGGCGGUCGUUCAAGUCGAGUGUGAAAGCCCUCAGCUCAACUGGGGAGGGUCACGCGAUACUGAUCGACUCGAAGGCAGGAGAGGGAAGUGGAAUUCCCGGUGUAGUGGUGAAAUGCGUAGAUAUCGGGAGGAAUACCGGUGGCGAAGGCGGCAUCCUGGACCGACAUUGACGCUGAUGAGCGAAAGCUAGGGGAGCAAACGGG
rnacentral:rRNA from 1 species